rnacentral:sRNA from 1 species
GGAGUCUCGCGGGGUCUUCCUCCCAGUGUCAAUAUGCUUUGGUAUUUAAAUCAAUAGAUCGAUACACCAUUUCUUGGUUCCACGAAUACCUGUACUUACCCACACCUAUGUAUACCAGAAACGUGAAUUCUCGAAACUCGGGCUUGAAGUGACACAGGUUAUAAAUCUUGCUGGAAAUCUUCCGAAAAAAGGGAUAAUGACGUCAUAAGAUGCCAUGAGAUCGGUCCACACUCUACUUGUGUGUUUUAUUCUUUCUCUGGUCAUCGAAAACGUGUACGGACAGACGCAGGUCAAUGAUGGGUCAUCAUCUAGCCAGGCGCAGCACAGCAAUGAGAUCACAGCCAUCAUCGUGACCGCGGUGAUGUGCGGCCUCGGGUUGAUUCUGUGCUGUACAGGGAUCUGUAUCUGUUGUUACGUCAAGUGCUGCACCGGAGAGGGAUGCAUCAUCUAGAUCUCGUCAUCGAUCUCGUGCCAUCGCCGCCAUUUUGUUUCAUACAUCUUUUUUGUUUUCUUUAGUUGAUUUAAAUGUUACAAGUUUUACACAAUAAAAUGAUCUGAUCCAU